rnacentral:rRNA from 1 species
UACGGGGGGGGCAAGCGUUGUUCGGAAUUAUUGGGCGUAAAGAGCUUGUAGGCGGUUUGUCGCGUCUGCCGUGAAAAUCCGGGGCUCAACCCCGGACUUGCGGUGGGUACGGGCAGACUAGAGUGUGGUAGGGGAGACUGGAAUUCCUGGUGUAGCGGUGAAAUGCGCAGAUAUCAGGAGGAACACCGAUGGCGAAGGCAGGUCUCUGGGCCACUACUGACGCUGAGAAGCGAAAGCGUGGGGAGCGAACAGG